UCCGUAGGCGGGUUUUUAAGUCAGUGGUGAAAGCCUACAGCUUAACUGUAGAAUUGCCGUUGAUACUGGAAGCCUUGAGUAUAGUUGAAGUGGGCGGAAUACGUCAUGUAGCGGUGAAAUGCAUAGAUAUGACGUAGAACACCUAUUGCGAAGGCAGCUCACUAAGCUAAAACUGACGCUGAGGGACGAAAGCGUGGGGAGCAAACAGGAUUAGAUACCCUGGUAGUCC
rnacentral:rRNA from 1 species